GGGCUCUUAGCUCAGUUGGUUAGAGCGCAGCGUUGACAUCGCUGAGGUCACUGGUUCGAGCCCAGUAGAGCCCA
rnacentral:tRNA from 1 species